UUCAUGUUUAGCCUACUAUAUGUGAAAUCUGGCGUUACCAAACACGCUCAACGAAAUUUUAAAAGUAAAUUAUUUGUGUAUUGCCAGCAACAGUUGUUUAUAGUUUAAGUUUAACUCAAUGUCACGAGUUCUUAUAGUUGGUGCAGGGUUGACAGGCAGUUUAUGCGCUUGUCUUCUGCGAAGAGAAAUGCCCUAACAAAGUUAUUGUUUUCUGGGACAAAUCGCGAGGAGCAGUUUCUAUGAAGAGCUGCUGGCCCAUGGUGUUCUGAAGCCCCUGUUGUCCUCAGUGGAAGGCGAGGUGAUGGAUUGAGGCCAUAAAAACUACGUCACUCCAACAGGAGUGUCCUCCAUCGUCAAACAUUUCCUCAAGCAGUCAGGAGGAUCGGAUGGUGACAGGGGUCUCAGCAGGGUCAGGCAACCAGGGAAGACCAAUCUGUGACAGAGUGCUAGAGGAGAGUCAGCGGCAGCAGCUUGGGGCGGUAAGCUACUUGUCGGCGCUAUGCGCUAGGCCUCUUCUACAAAGGCCCAGGCUCACAUCGACGUCCCCUGGGCCGCCAAGUACGUCUCCAAUAAUCCCUGCAUUCGCUUCAUCGCCAUCGACGAUCAAAAGCGCAAUUUAGACAACAGCAAAAAUCCAGGAAGAGACCCAGACUCUCGAAUUGGGUGUAGGCGAUGAGACUCUGUACAACUGGACAACGGAAGUUCAGCAAUGGGCUAAUACAGAAUUCCCAGAGUGCGGUCCCUCCAUGGUGGUCCACACCAGUCUUCCAUUUGGUGUCAGACACCUGGAGGAGGCCAAGGAGCAGGUGGAGCCUAUCAUCCUGGUGAAGCUGAACAAGCUGCCUGGCUUGCCACAGCCCGACAGCAUCAAGUGUCAGAAGUGGAGAUGCUCACAGGUGACGAGCUCGGUGGCCGACUGCCCAGGGCAGAUGACGCCGCUGUCCCAGCCUCUGUUUGUGUGUGGGGGCGACGGCUUCACACAUUCCAAUUUCAACGGCUGUAUCGAGUCUGCCCUGAAGGUGUUUGACGUUCUGAAGUCCUCUCUCUGAUGCCUUAAGGGGUGGUAGGGGGGAUGGGAGUAUAGUGUGGGGGCCUCUAUGUGUACAGUAUGCUAGCCCAGAGAGGGGGGUACUCUCAUUGAUCCAUUACCCUAACCCCCCCCAUCAUGGAUGAAAUCUGUAAAAUAGAAGAGUUGAACUGUCCACUGAAGUACUUGAUAUGUUUUUUUAACAUGUUGAUGCCAUGCUGUGUUCACUUGUGGUUAGAUGUGGAACCGGUGUGUAUAUGACCCACUAAUACAACAAGGUGGACCAUGAUUCCGUUCCAAUGAAGUACUUUACUGAAAGUAAAUAUGGUGUUGUUACUCAGGAUUUCUCUCUAAACAUCUGAUUUUGGUUCAGAUUGAAUAAAAAAGUUGAAAACUGUA